rnacentral:rRNA from 1 species
AUGAACGCUAGCUACAGGCUUAACACAUGCAAGUCGAGGGGCAUCAGGAAGAAAGCUUGCUUUCUUUGCUGGCGACCGGCGCACGGGUGAGUAACACGUAUCCAACCUGCCCUUUACUCGGGGAUAGCCUUUCGAAAGAAAGAUUAAUACCCGAUAGCAUAAUGAUUCCGCAUGGUUUCAUUAUUAAAGGAUUCCGGUAAAGGAUGGGGAUGCGUUCCAUUAGGUUGUUGGUGAGGUAACGGCUCACCAAGCCUUCGAUGGAUAGGGGUUCUGAGAGGAAGGUCCCCCACAUUGGAACUGAGACACGGUCCAAACUCCUACGGGAGGCAGCAGUGAGGAAUAUUGGUCAAUGGGCGCUAGCCUGAACCAGCCAAGUAGCGUGAAGGAUGAAGGCUCUAUGGGUCGUAAACUUCUUUUAUAUAAGAAUAAAGUGCAGUAUGUAUACUGUUUUGUAUGUAUUAUAUGAAUAAGGAUCGGCUAACUCCGUGCCAGCAGCCGCGGUAAUACGGAGGAUCCGAGCGUUAUCCGGAUUUAUUGGGUUUAAAGGGAGCGUAGGUGGACUGGUAAGUCAGUUGUGAAAGUUUGCGGCUCAACCGUAAAAUUGCAGUUGAUACUGUCAGUCUUGAGUACAGUAGAGGUGGGCGGAAUUCGUGGUGUAGCGGUGAAAUGCUUAGAUAUCACGAAGAACUCCGAUUGCGAAGGCGGCUCACUGGACUGCAACUGACACUGAUGCUCGAAAGUGUGGGUAUCAAACAGGAUUAGAUACCCUGGUAGUCCACACAGUAAACGAUGAAUACUCGCUGUUUGCGAUAUACAGUAAGCGGCCAAGCGAAAGCAUUAAGUAUUCCACCUGGGGAGUACGCCGGCAACGGUGAAACUCAAAGGAAUUGACGGGGGCCCGCACAAGCAGUGGAGUAUGUGGUUUAAUUCGAAGCAACGCGAAGAACCUUACCAGGGUUUGACAUCCUGCUAACGAAGUAGAGAUACAUUAGGUGCCCUUCGGGGAAAGCAGAGACAGGUGGUGCAUGGUUGUCGUCAGCUCGUGUCGUGAGAUGUUGGGUUAAGUCCCGCAACGAGCGCAACCCUUAUCUUUAGUUACUAACAGGUUAUGCUGAGGACUCUAGAGAGACUGCCGUCGUAAGAUGUGAGGAAGGUGGGGAUGACGUCAAAUCAGCACGGCCCUUACGUCCGGGGCUACACACGUGUUACAAUGGGGGGUACAGAAGGCAGCUAGCGGGUGACCGUAUGCUAAUCCCAAAAGCCUCUCUCAGUUCGGAUCGAAGUCUGCAACCCGACUUCGUGAAGCUGGAUUCGCUAGUAAUCGCGCAUCAGCCACGGCGCGGUGAAUACGUUCCCGGGCCUUGUACACACCGCCCGUCAAGCCAUGGGAGCCGGGGGUACCUGAAGUACGUAACCGCAAGGAUCGUCCUAGGGUAAAACUGGUGACUGGGGCU